rnacentral:lncRNA from 1 species
CCCAGGGGUGUCCACGAGCUGAACAUGAGUGAGCUGAGACGAGCUGACAUGUUAAAAUAUCGAGUCGAAAAAUUCAACUCGUAUUCGGCUCGUUUAUUAACGAACUGAACACAAGCUGAUUCAUGAACAAUAAGUUAAAAGAAUUAUGAAGGAUACAUGUAGAAGAUAAAUUUAUGAGAUUUUAUUUAUUUGAUUUUGAUCUAAUAGUUAAAACUAUACAUAUAAAUGACCUUUUUAUAAUUGAGUUAAGCUUUAUAUUUAGGUUAAGUUAAAAAUCAAAUAAUAAAAAUUUAUUUUAUAUAUAUAAUGAUUUAUUUAUAUAUAUAUAUAUAAAUAUAAAAUAUAUGUAUUCAAGCUGAUAUCAAGCCGAACACGAGCGAGUUAACCCUUGUUCGUGUUCACUGUGAUUCGAUCUCGAGUUUAUUUCGAGCCGAACAAGAGCUGGCUCACAAACAACAAGCUGAAUUGCCACCCCUACAUGCACCAAUGCUUGG